rnacentral:rRNA from 1 species
AGACACGGCCCAAACUCCUACGGGAGGCAGCAGUAGGGAAUCUUCGGCAAUGGACGAAAGUCUGACCGAGCAACGCCGCGUGAGUGAAGAAGGUUUUCGGAUCGUAAAACUCUGUUGUUAGAGAAGAACAAGGAUGAGAGUAACUGUUCAUCCCUUGACGGUAUCUAACCAGAAAGCCACGGCUAACUACGUGCCAGCAGCCGCGGUAAUACGUAGGUGGCAAGCGUUGUCCGGAUUUAUUGGGCGUAAAGCGAGCGCAGGCGGUUUCUUAAGUCUGAUGUGAAAGCCCCCGGCUCAACCGGGGAGGGUCAUUGGAAACUGGGAGACUUGAGUGCAGAAGAGGAGAGUGGAAUUCCAUGUGUAGCGGUGAA